rnacentral:rRNA from 1 species
GACGAACCGAGCGAACGUUGUUCGGAAUCACUGGGCUUAAAGGGCGCGUAGGCGGGCUGCCAAGUCUGGGGUGAAAUCCUCCGGCUCAACCGGGGAAGGGCCUCAGAUACUGGCGGCCUGGAGGGGGGUAGGGGCGUGCGGAACUGUGGGUGGAGCGGUGAAAUGCGUUGAGAUCCACAGGAACUCCGGUGGCGAAGGCGGCACGCUGGACCCUUUCUGACGCUGAGGCGCGAAAGCCAGGGGAGCGAACGGG